GGAAUAUUGGUCAAUGGGCGAGAGCCUGAACCAGCCAAGUAGCGUGGAGGAAGACGGCCCUACGGGUUGUAAACUCCUUUUAUCAGGGGAUAAAGUCCGCUACGUGUAGCGGUUUGCAGGUACCUGAUGAAUAAGGACCGGCUAAUUCCGUGCCAGCAGCCGCGGUAAUACGGAAGGUCCGGGCGUUAUCCGGAUUUAUUGGGUUUAAAGGGAGCGCAGGCUGAUUAUUAAGCGUGACGUGAAAUGUAGCCGCUCAACGGCUGAACUGCGUCGCGAACUGGUAGUCUUGAGUGAGUUCGAUGUUGGCGGAAUUCGUGGUGUAGCGGUGAAAUGCUUAGAUAUCACGAAGAACUCCGAUUGCGAAGGCAGCCAACAAGGCCUUUACUGACGCUAAAGCUCGAAGGUGCGGGUAUCGAACA
rnacentral:rRNA from 1 species